AUAUUGGACAAUGGGGGAAACCCUGAUCAAGCCAUCCCGCGUGUGUGAGGAAGGUCUUUGGCUUGUAAAGAACUUGUAGUUGGGAGGAUGGACGUUAGGUCAAUACUCUGAUGCUUUGACGUUACCAAGAGAACUAGCAUCGGCUAACUAUGUUGCAGCAGCCACGGUAAAACAGAGGGUGCAAGCUUUAACCGGAAUUACUGGGCGUAAAUCGCGCGUAGGUGGUUCAGUAAGAUGGGUGGGAAAUCCCCGGGCUUAACCUGGGAACUGCUUUCAUAACUGCUGAGCUAGAGUACGGUAGAGGGUAGUGGAAUUUCCUGUGUAGCGGUUAAAUGCGUAGAUAUAGGAAAGAACACCAGUGGCGAAGGCGACUACCUGGACUGAUACUGACACUGAGGUGCGAAAGCGUGGGGAGCAAAC
rnacentral:rRNA from 1 species